AUGCUCAGGCCGGUGAACCAGUCGCUGUCCUCCUUCACCGUCACCAUGCCGCCUCUCGGCUGCCCCUGCGCCAUGUCCGUGAAGACGCGCUGCUGCAGGCCGGAGGCGCUGUCGAUCUCCGAGGAGUCGUGCGUCUGGAAGCUGUCGGAUAUGGCGUCGGUCGCCAGCGCGUCCAUGACCUCCCCGUUUGGCCCGGCCUCCACAGCCAUGUCCUGCUCCACCUUGACCUUCUCCCAGUUGUUCUUCUUGUUGUACAGCCGGCACAGCACCCAUUCGUCCAGCUGCAAUAGCCGCACAUCACAUAGAGAGAAGGAUCAGUAUUCAGUAUCGAUCGAUGAAUCAGUAUUGUUGGUGAGCAAACUGCGAACUGGAAGACGUUGGGGUUACCUUGAGGGAUCCCUUCUUGCCGGGUGCGCGGUCGGCUUCGGCGAUGCGGUACUCGUGCAUGAUCCAGUCGGUCUUGACGCCCCUGGGCGCCCUGCCGGAGUAGAAGACGAGCGCCUUCUUGAUGCCGACCGUCCUGCCGCCGCUCUCCUUGGGCGCCACGGGCUUGUCGGCGCCGGUGGCCUUCCAGUAGCCGGUGCCGGCGGAGCGGUUGGGGCGCGAGCCGUUGGGGUACUUGCGGUCGCGUGGCGUGAAGAAGUACCACUCCCUGCUCCCGAACAGCGCCCUCUCUGCACGAACGAACCCGCGGCCAAGGUCAGCGCGGCACAGCACACAUUGAACCACCAAGAAGGAGGAAGAAGGAGAAGAGAAAACAGGGGAGGGGAGAGAGAGGAAGAAGAGAAGAAGAAGAGAAGAGAAAGGCGGCUGCAGGUUGUGAUACCGCCUCCUGGGACCUGGAGCCUUCUCUUUUGUUGA
rnacentral:rRNA from 1 species